GCGCCUAUAGCUCAAUUGGAUAGAGCAUCUGGCUUCGGACCAGAGGGUUGGGGGUUCGAGCCCUCCUAGGCGCG
rnacentral:tRNA from 1 species